AUGGGGACUGAAUUUGGCACGGUGGGGACAGAAUUUGGCACAGGGUUGGGGCUGGGACAGGACGGGGACGAGCUCGGGGGCUGCUGCGGGCACAGCCCGGCCUCCUAUUCCCACUCCCAGUUCCCAUUCCCAUUUCCUAUUCCCAUUCCCAGUUCCUAUUCCCAUUCCCAUUUCCUAUUCCCAGUACCCAGUUCCCAUUCCCACUCCCAGUUCCUAUUCUCAUUCCCAGUUCCCAUUCCCAUUCCCAAUUCCCAUGCCCAUUCCCAGUUCCCAUUUCCACUCCCAGUUCCUAUUCCCACUCCCAUUCCCAUUCCCAUUUCCUAUUCCCAGUACCCAGUUCCCAUUCCCACUCCCAGUUCCUAUUCUCAUUCCCAGUUCCCAUUCCCAUUCCCAAUUCCCAUGCCCAUUCCCAGUUCCCAUUUCCACUCCCAGUUCCUAUUCCCACUCCCAUUCCCAUUCCCAUUUCCUAUUCCCAGUACCCAGUUCCCAUUCCCACUCCCAGUUCCUAUUCUCAUUCCCAGUUCCCAUUCCCAUUCCCAAUUCCCAUGCCCAUUCCCAGUUCCCAUUUCCACUCCCAGUUCCUAUUCCCACUCCCAUUCCCAUUCCCAUUUCCUAUUCCCAGUACCCAGUUCCCAUUCCCACUCCCAGUUCCCAUUCCCACUCCCAGUUCCCGUUCCCAUUCCCGUUCCCAUUCUCAUUUCCCAUUCCAGUUCCCAUUCCCGUUCACAUCCUCAAUUCCCAUUCCCGUUCCCAGUUCCCAUUCCCAUUUCCCAUUCCCGUUCCCAGUUCCCAUUCCCAUUCCCACUCCCACUUCCCAUUCCCGUUCCCAGUUCCCAUUCCCAUUUCCCAUUCCCGUUCCCAGUUCCCAUUCCCAUUCCCACUCCCACUUCCCAUUCCCGUUCCCAGUUCCCAUUCCCAUUUCCCAUUCCCGUUCCCAGUUCCCAUUCCCAUUCCCACUCCCACUUCCCAUUCCCGUUCCCAGUUCCCAUUCCCAUUUCCCAUUCCCGUUCCCAGUUCCCAUUCCCAUUCCCACUCCCACUCCACUCCCAGUUCCUAUUCCCACUCCCAUUCCCAUUCCCAUUUCCUAUUCCCAGUACCCAGUUCCCAUUCCCACUCCCAGUUCCCAUUCCCACUCCCAGUUCCCGUUCCCAUUCCCAUUCCCAGUUCCCAUUCUCAUUUCCCAUUCCCAGUUCCCAGUUCCCAGUUCCCAUUCUCAUUUCCCAGUUCCCAUUCUCAUUUCCCAUUCCAGUUCCCAUUCCCGUUCACAUCCUCAAUUCCCAUUCCCAUUCCCAGUUCCCAAUCCCAGUUCCCAUUCCCAGUUCCCAUUCCCAGUUCCCACUCCCAGUUCCCAUUCCCGUUCCCAUCCUCAAUUCCCAUUCCCACCUUCCAGCAGCCGCCCCCCAUUCCCAGGGAACAGGGGAUGAUUCAUCCCGGCCAUUUCCUCCUCCUCCUCCUUUAAUCUUUUUUAACUCUUUGAUGUCAUAA
rnacentral:lncRNA from 1 species